GCCCGGAUAGCUCAGUCGGUAGAGCAUCAG
rnacentral:piRNA from 12 species